AAAGAAAGAAAGAAGGAUCAAGGACCUUGGAAUAUAGAGAAAGAUAGAGAUAGCAAUAAGGGAAGUGAGGAGCUGCUUAGCCAGCCAUAGGGCUACCAGGCAGAGAUUAGCAGCCACAGCAAUAGUACAGGGACAGGCUCCCGUGCCCAGGGCACCAUGUGAGAGCCAGGGCAUCCUGCUCCACCUCUUUAUAGCCAGGGAUGUACAAUAGCCAGGUAGCUGUGAGGCUGCAUCCAUGCAUAUUUCAUAUGGACAUGUCUUCCAGCCUGGUAUAGCAGCAGUACAUUGACAUGUGAAUUGGGAGUGAGGGAAGGGGCAUGCAUAGUGGCUGACUGGCAGCAUAUGGCUGCACUAAGCUUAUUAUUCCUGUUAUUGUCAGCAUUCCAUUUGUUUUGCUGUUUGCUGGGGAAAGGCAGGCAUCAGACAGCUGUGGGUGUAACAGGAGGGGAGAGCAGAGAUUGACACAGCAGGCAGGAGGACUGCCCUGGGCUGAGCUCCACCUUGCAAGCCCCGGUGCAAGUAUCAGAGGAAAGGAAGGAGGGAGGGCUGGAGCUGGGACCUGGCUGGUUUGUGGAGGGGAUACCUGGCUGUGAAUGAGGGGAGCCCCUAUGUGGUCACUGAGUGUCACAGCCUCCCCCUAGACUGACUGCCCGAGGCCUGGCCUGAUCUACCUUAAAAACAACGUGGAGCAUCACAGGAAGCCCAGUCACUUCAGAACCAGGAGGGGGACAUUCAGAGGUAAUUGUACUCACUGUCAUUACAGGCACCAGACCAUACACUGCGUGAAUUUGCAUCAUUUUACUACGUUAGCUAGUGAAGCCUAUGGUAUUUACCUAACAAAGAGAUCUAGUAUUGAUGCAUUGUGUAUAGGAGUCAGACAAAUCCCUCUAUAUUACGAUGUUUGUCAUGUUAUUGGUCUUGAAGGGGUUAAGGGGAAAAAAGACACAUUGAAACAGACUGAUCUUAUAAUAGGAGACUACUG